UACGAAGGGGGGCUAGCGUUGCUCGGAAUCACUGGGCGUAAAGCGCACGUAGGCGGAUCUUUAAGUCAGGGGUGAAAUCCCAAGGCUCAACCUUGGAACUGCCUUUGAUACUGGGGAUCUCGAGUCCGGAAGAGGUGAGUGGAACUGCGAGUGUAGAGGUGAAAUUCGUAGAUAUUCGGAGGAACACCAGUGGCGAAGGCGACUCGCUGGACAGACAUUGACGCUGAGGUGCGAAAGCGUGGGGAGCAAACAGG
rnacentral:rRNA from 1 species